rnacentral:rRNA from 1 species
GACGAACGCUGGCGGCGUGCUUAACACAUGCAAGUCGAACGGAAAGGCCUGCUUUCCCUUGUGGUUUGCGGGUGCUCGAGCGGCGAACGGGGGAGUAACACGUGAGUGAUCUGCCCCCAACUUGGGUAUAAGCCUGGGAAACUGGGUCUAAUUCCCGAUAGGACUGCAGGGUGGUGCCUGUGGUGGAAAACGAUUUUCUAGUGGUUGGGGAUGAGCUCGCGGCCUAUCAGCUUGGUGGUGGGGUAAUGGCCUACCAAGGCGACGACGGGGAGCCGGCGUGGGACGGAGAGCGUCGACGGCGGCACUGGGACUCGGUCCAGACCCCUACGCGAGCGGGAGGUAGGAAUUGUUGAUAAUGGACAGUAAGCGGGAGCCUGCUGCAGCGAGGGCGCGAGGAAGAUCUUGGGCUUGGAGAUGUAAACUACUUUCGAAGACGAGGAAGACACCUAGUUGGAAGGGUGGUGACGGUAGUGGAAGAAGAAGCACCGGCUAACUACGUG